AUUGAACGCUGGCGGCAGGCCUAACACAUGCAAGUCGAACGGUAACAGGAAGAAGCUUGCUUCUUUGCUGACGAGUGGCGGACGGGUGAGUAAUGUCUGGGAAACUGCCUGAUGGAGGGGGAUAACUACUGGAAACGGUAGCUAAUACCGCAUAACGUCGCAAGAACCAAAGAGGGGGACCUUCGGGCCUCUUGCCAUCGGAUGUGCCCAGAUGGGAUUAGCUAGUAGGUGGGGUAACGGCUCACCUAGGCGACGAUCCCUAGCUGGUCUGAGAGGAUGACCAGCCACACUGGAACUGAGACACGGUCCAGACUCCUACGGGAGGCAGCAGUGGGGAAUAUUGCACAAUGGGCGCAAGCCUGAUGCAGCCAUGCCGCGUGUAUGAAGAAGGCCUUCGGGUUGUAAAGUACUUUCAGCGGGGAGGA
rnacentral:rRNA from 1 species